rnacentral:rRNA from 1 species
CCUACGGGUGGCUGCAGUGGGGAAUAUUGGACAAUGGGCGAAAGCCUGAUCCAGCCAUGCCGCGUGUGUGAAGAAGGCCUUCGGGUUGUAAAGCACUUUCAGUGGGGAAGAAAGCCUUGGGGCUAAUACCCUCGAGGAAGGACAUCACCCACAGAAGAAGCACCGGCUAACUCCGUGCCAGCAGCCGCGGUAAUACGGAGGGUGCGAGCGUUAAUCGGAAUUACUGGGCGUAAAGCGCGCGUAGGCGGUCUGAUAAGCCGGUUGUGAAAGCCCCGGGCUCAACCUGGGAACGGCAUCCGGAACUGUCAGGCUAGAAUGCAAGAGAGGAAGGUAGAAUUCCCGGUGUAGCGGUGAAAUGCGUAGAGAUCGGGAGGAAUACCAGUGGCGAAGGCGGCCUUCUGGACUGACACUGACGCUGAGGUGCGAAAGCGUGGGUAGCAAACAGGAUUAGAUACCCCAGUAGUC